AUUGAACGCUGGCUGCAGGCUUAACACAUGCAAGUCGAACGAGUGGCGGACGGGUGAGUAAUGCUUGGGAAUCUGUCUUCUGGAGGGGGAUAACUACGGGAAACUGUAGCUAAUACCGCAUACCAUCGGAUGUGCCCAAGGGGGAUUAGGUAGUUGGUGGGGUAAAGGCUCACCAAGCCGACGAUCUCUAGCUGGUAUGAGAGGAUGACCAGCAACACGGGGACUGAGACACGGCCCAGACUCCUACGGGAGGCAGCAGUGGGGAAUAUUGCACAAGGGGCGCAAGCCUGAUGCAGCCAUGCCGCGUGUAUGAAGAAGGCCGGCGGGUGGUAAAGUACUUUCAGUGGGGAGGCGUUACCCGCAGAAGAAGCACCGGCUAACUCCGUGCCAGCAGCCGCGGGAAUAC
rnacentral:rRNA from 1 species